UACGUAGGGGCAAGCGUUGUCCGGAAUCAUUGGGCGUAAAGAGCGUGUAGGCGGUCCGGUAAGUCGGCUGUGAAAGUCCAGGGCUCAACCCUGGGAUGCCGGUCGAUACUGCCGGACUAGAGUUCGGAAGAGGCGAGUGGAAUUCCCGGUGUAGCGGUGAAAUGCGCAGAUAUCGGGAGGAACACCAAUUGCGAAGGCAGCUCGCUGGGACGUAACUGACGCUGAGACG
rnacentral:rRNA from 1 species